rnacentral:rRNA from 1 species
UACGGAGGGUGCAAGCGUUAUCCGGAUUCACUGGGUUUAAAGGGUGCGUAGGAGGGCAGGUAAGUCAGUGGUGAAAUCUCCAAGCUUAACUUGGAAACUGCCGUUGAUACUAUCUGUCUUGAAUAUUGUGGAGGUGAGCGGAAUAUGUCAUGUAGCGGUGAAAUGCUUAGAUAUGACAUAGAACACCAAUUGCGAAGGCAGCUUACUACCCGAAUAUUGACACUGAGGCACGAAAGCGUGGGGAUCAAACAGG